GCCAUAGUCAACCAAGAUUCAACACAAACCCUAAAAAAGCAAUUACCUUUCUACACCAAAUUCAUUUAUACAGAACCCCAAAUCAAAGAAUUACAAUAAAAAAGAUCCAAGAUCCAACCACCAGACUAUAUUCUACUAAAACAUAUACACUAGAUUGUAUUCUACUGAUGUUUUUAUCACUAUUGGUAUUUCAGCCUUGAUUUCCAAGUCUAACCAUUAAAGAACAAACAUUUUAUCAAGAAAGAGUUGAUGCAAAUCUUGGUCAACCCAAUGAUCAAAUGUAAAGUAGUAAGUACAUUUUAGGCUAACAAUUACAAGUCAACAGCACAUUAUUGAUAGUACAUAAAAAGCCCUUCUACUACCUGGAUAACAUUGUCACUAUGUAGCUCAUUAUCUUGCCUCUGAAAAUGGAGAUUCAAUGAAAUACCGAUUCUAGGAAAUCUUCAAUACACUAAACCUGAAGCCAAAUUACCUAGAACCGACAAUAAUUAUUCUCAAAACACAACAAUUAACAACAUAAACUUAAACAACAACCAAAUUAGCAAGGACCCCAUUCUUAGUUACAUCAUUAGCGUACAAAAAAAUUAUAAGUAUUAACAAAUAAGUAGUGGUAAUAAAAACACUAACAAGCUAAUCUAUAUUCUCUCAAUCUUCCUCAUCGCUUGUUUCAUUUCCAUCAUUCUCCCAUGCUUCCUCUUCCGUGGUUUUGGUCUCAUUCGUCCUCCCAGAAUGAUUCAUUUCCCUCGUCUAUUUCUUCCGCAGUAUUUGCGAAGUCAAUGAUCUCAUCAUCAGAAACUUCUUCUAAUAUGCAUUAAGGAUGUUCGAGAUUGUUUUCCAACUCAUCAUCCACUAUUUGAUCAAUAAUUGCGACUUCGUUCUGGUAUGCCACAUCUGACACAUUCUCAAUCUCAAUUCUCCCCACAGGCUUAGUCUUUAUACCCACCACCAACUGGGUUUAUCUCUGCACAAUAGACAUGUAGCAUAAUAUACCUACCUGGCAUUUUAUGCAAUGAUAAAGGGAUCAUAGCGAUUAUAUUGCCUCGUGUGCUUAACUUCAAUUAUAUUAUGUUGUUGAUUCACCCUAAUACCUCUAAGUGAGGGAUCAAACCGCUUGCACCGAAAUAGAAUUAUCUUCUUUUUUUGCCAACUAGGGUACCUGACUUCUAAUAUCUCUUGUACGACACCAAAAUAUACAACGAUUUAACCACACGCCGCUGUUAUUAGUUUUCUUAUACUUAAGAACGUUCUCGAUUUGAAACUUGAAACCGUUCACACAAUAUUUAUCCAUUGUCCAAAUUUGAGUUGCAGGACCAAAUAUAAUAUCUCUCACCAAUGGCAAAUGUUCGACGGUACUAUGUUCAUCCAAAACCUACAUAUCAUUAAAUCAAAAGAUAAAUUUUAUCAAAUGACCUAUAUAUAAUUUUAGUAAAUGCACAUAUGAUCUUUCAUACUUGCAUAUUCUUCCAGCAAUUGGAAAACCUUGUAUAUAUGGCAUCAUUACCCCAUUUCCCAAUGAAUAAACUGUCAAGUGUACAUCAUUAGGAUUUUUUUAUUAGUGAAGUGUCCUUAACAAAUUAAUAUAAUUCGAUAACAUCAUUAACACUUACUCAAGAUAUGGUUGAAUCUCUGGACAAUUGAGCAAAACAUGUCACAAUUGAUUUUUUUUUCCAUACCAGUGGUGCUCGCGUACAAUAACUUUUAGAUCUUUUACCCGAAUUGUUAAAAUCAAUAUAGCUGAAAACAUAGGAUCACCAUCAUCUUUAUCAUUACAAUUGGACUUAUUUCUCUUACAUGUCACUUCAUCCCCAAAGUAGUAAGAACAAAAAUAAGCAAUUUCUUUUGCAAGAUAAGCUUCACAAAUCGUUCCUUCAAUCUUUCCCCUUGCUUAAUAGUUUGUUUUCACUCGCCAAUUUUCCUGCAUAAUUUUAUCUUAGGUAGAUAAAAGUAAUAUUUUACAGAAAAUAAUGGCAUUAAUUUAAAAAAACUUACCUCUCUCCUUGACACAUACACCUCAUUUGAACUGGGACUCCAAGACGUGCCUCUUCUACAAGGUGAACUGGAAGAUGCUCCAUCACAUCAAAAAAGCCACAUGGAAAGAUCUUCUCCAACUUAGUAGGGAUGACAGGAAUAUUCUGCUUCAUUUUGUCCAAGCUACUCUCCAACAACUUUUCCAAACACAAAUCUUUGAAGAACAAACUUAUCUCUGUGAUUGGUUUCCAUAUCCUCUCAGGAAGGUGGCUAAAUAAGAUAGGAAUCAAGGUUUCCAUAAAAACGUGACAAUCAUGGCUUUUUAUACCAAUCAACUUCCCUUCUUCCAUAUCCACUCCCUUUCCUAAAUUCAUAGAAUAGCCCUCGAGCAUCCUCAAAUCCUUAACCCACAGACAUAUUUCCCGUUUCUCAUCUAAUGUGGAUGAAAAACUGGCCUUGGGCUUAAAUAAUUUGCCAUUUUCUUUUUUCCUUCAACCGCAAUUCCUUUCCCUUGCAAUACUCCUUAAUAUCCAUUCUAGCUUUUGAAUUAUCUUUUGUCUUGCCCUUAACAUCCAUGACUGUGUUGAAUAAAUUAUCAAAAUAAUUUUUUUCAAUGUGCAUCAGAUCAAAAUUAUGCCUUAGUUUAUCGUCCCCCCAAUAAGGCAACUCCCAAAAUAUGCUUUGUUUGUUCAAUUAUGUUCAACACCAUAUCCAGAAAGUCUAAAAGGUGGGUCAUCUGUAACUUUAGGAAAAUUACAAAUCUAUCCCAAAUCUGAUGUCUUGACAGUAAUGGAGGUGGCAAAUCAUUCUCAAUAUUAUUCUUUUUUAAAGGCAUUUUUCAUCCUUCUAAACUCAUGGUCCAUUGGUUAGAACUAGCGGUGACAAUCAAACCAAUAAUUUUUUCGACCAUACUUUAAAGUGAAUGCUUUACUAUUUUCAAUACAAUAUGGGCAAUCUAACUUUCCAACAGUCAUCCAACCGGAGAAUAUCCCAUAUGCAAGAAAAUCACUAAUAGUCCACAUUAAAUUUGCACGCAUAACAAAAUUCUGCUUAGUUGAUAUAUCAUAUAUCACUACACUUUCAUGCCAUAAUUGUAGUAAUUCAUCUAUCAAUGGCUGGAGAUAUACAUCGAUCAAACUUUUUGGAUUGCGGAAACCUAGAAUAAUACAAUUUAGAAAUAUGUAGGGACUUGACAUGCACAUUUCAGGUGGGAGAUUAUAUGGAGUAAUAAAUACAGGCCAACAAGAAUGGUGUGAAACCAUCUGCACAUAAUCCCAAUCUAACAUUUCUUGGCUCACUAGCAAAAUCAAGAUAAGUUCUAUCGAAAUGCUUCCAAGCUUCUCCAUCUGAUGGAUGAGAUAAGACUUUCAUGGUGUCAUUUCAUGUGUGGGGCAGAACUCAUCGAAGCAUACAACCUCUUUAGCCUAGGUAUAAGAGGUAAAUAGUGCAUCACCUUAAUAGAAACCAUAUUUCCACUAGGAGUCCGCGUAUAAUGAGCAUGUCCACAAAACUUACAAUUUUCUAACUCUGCAUCAUUCUUAUAGAACAACAUACAACCAUUUAUACUACAAUGGAUUCUAUUAUAUGACAAUCCCAACUUGGAAACCAAUUUCUUUGCUUGAUAAAAAUUUUGAGGUAUGUCCAACUUUGGAUUUACUAGUUCGCCCAAAAGACCAACCAUAGAGUCCAUAGCAGCUUGAGCAAUAUUCCAAUCAGAUUUGAUACUCAUUAAUCUUAUUGCAACUAAUAAAGCAGAAUGCAGACUCCCUUCACAUAGUGGGUGACUAGCCUCUUCUAAUUGUUGAUAGAAACCCCUUGCUUCUUCAUUGGGAUCUUCUUCUAAAUUCUGUUCGUGUUCCAUCCCAUCCUCAAUUCCAAAAGCAUCAUUGACAAUUUCAUGAAUCCUAUCAUCAUAUUGUACUAUGUUGAACUCUAGCAUGUUGAAUCCUAGCAUGUCGACCAUAUACAAGCAUGUCAUAUUCAUCCACAGGCAAUGAAUUAUAAAAUAUACCAUUCAAACCAUCUCUCUCUCAGUGAUCGACCCACACAAAGUAUCUUGGCUUAAAUCCAUUACAAUAGAGAUAAGUCAUAACAAUAUCUGGUUGAAAAAACUUCAAGCACCUACAUGGACUACAAGGACACCUAACCACUCCACUUUUUUUAUAUAGAUCGAGUGACAUCGCAUGAUCGAUAAAACCUCUAACGCCAUUAAGAUAUUGGAGUUUUAAACCAACAACAUUUUCAUAAUUCAUAUCAUACAUCCAAAAACAAUGAUCCAUCUACAAAAAUAUAGAUAUUCAAUAAUAUGCAAGUUUGCAUUAAAACAUAUAAAAAUCAAGUCAUUAGUUCACAUUUCAAGUGACUACACUUAAAUCAUUUUCAAGUAGCUACACUUAACCAUUUUCAAGUCACAAGGUCACAAUUUCAAGUACCUACACUUAAGCAUUUUCAAGUCAUUAACUUCACAAUUCAAGUAGCUACGCUUAAUCAUUUUCAAGUUACAAGUUCACAAUUUCAAGUAACUACACUUAACCAUUUUCAAGUCACAAGUUCACAAUUUCAAGUAACUACACUUAAGCAUUUUCAAGUCAUCAUUAACUUCACAUUUCAAGUAGCUACACUUAACCAUUUUCAAGUCACAAGUUCACAAUUUCAAGUAAUCAUUUAACCAUUUUCAAGUCACAAGUUCACAAUUUCAAGUAACUACAACACUUAAUCCUUUUCAAAUCAUAACUUCACAUUUCAAGUGACUACACUUAACCGUUUUCAAGUCACAAGUUCACAAUUUCAAGUACCUAUACUUAAGUAUUUUCAAGUCAUUAACUUCACAAUUCAAGUAGCUACACUUAAGCAUUUUCAAGUCACAAGUUCACAAUUUAAAGUAACUACACAUAUGCAUUUUCAAGUCACAAGUUCACAAUUUCAAGUAACUACACUAAAGCAUUUUCAAGUCAUUAACUUCACAUUUCAAGUAGCUACACUUAACCAUUUUCAAGUCACAAGUUGACAAUCAUUUAACCAUUUUCAAGUCACAAGUUCACAAUUUCAAGUAACUACAACACUUGAUCAUUUUCAAAUCAUAACUUCACAUUUCAAAUGACUACACUUAACCGUUUUCUAGUCACAAGUUCACAAUUUCAAGUACCCAUUUAAUUAACCAUUUUCAAGUCACAAGUUCACAAUUUCAAGUAACUCCACUUAAUCAUUUCAAAUCAUAACUUCACAUUUCAAGUGACUACAUUUAACCAUUUUCUAAUCACUAGUUCACAUUCUCAAUUUUAGUAUAAGUCAGAUAAUUCAAUAAAUUUAAUAAAGUUAAUAAGUAGAGGCGUCGAAUGUCCCUCUCACACCAUAUAAUCAUCACAAAACCUAUAGCUUUAGAAGCCUUCUACAAUAAAUAAUCCCACCAUUACAUUACUUAUAAAUACUUCACUAUACGAAAAUAGAGAGAAAUAAACUUACCUUUGUUUGGCCUAAUUUAAAGAGAAAGAGGCAAGCGAUCGUCGAAAAUUAGCAACCAACCUUUUUUUCAAGAAAUAGCAACCCAACCUGUUCAUAAUGGAAUAUUAUAUCACACAUAAAGUAAAAAGUUAGCAUUAAUAUUAUAUCACUUGAUGUUGACCACUUAAGAAAUGAAGCAAUAUACUAGUUAAAUGAAAUUUUCAUCUAACAACCGUUGCAGCCUUCCUUCAAUCAGUUAGUUUUUCUUUAGACUUAAUUGAAUCAGCCGAAUCUACAGCUUCAACAUGGCUUUAUACACCAGACUACAUAGCACACAAUGAAUUGUUAGCCUGUUGUGUUCACAAGUUGUAUAGCUACCAACUUGUAGGUUUUGUCCUGUUGUUUACCGGUUGCCAGGAUCCUUAUUAUGUAUGAAGUCACUUUGUUUUGUUAGGUUAAAUCCAGGACCUAUUUACCUUAGAACAUUUCUGGAACAUGAGGAAGACUACAAGCAUUAUACAAAACAAGAAAGAACAUAAGGGAACACAAGGUGGCUUGAUUGAAAUCUUAAAACUGAUUUUUAUGCACAUAAACAAGGUAAUAACAUUAUGCACAUAACAAAUCAUGCUAGAUGUGUAGAUUUGUUGAUCUUCUUUCAACCCAUAUUUGUUGUUUUCUACUGGUGGUUGGCCAAUAUCUUAAUACGUUUAAGGCAACCUGAAAUUAUAUUUCUGUUCACUGCAGCAUUCUUCUCAUGAUAUUGAAAUAGAGAUAGUAAACUGCACUUUUGAUUUUCUUACGAGUGAAACACUAAGGGAAUGUGUACGAAGUUAAAUAAAGCAGCACACAUUCACUGUUUAGGUUGAACUUUGGGAAUUGGUGUAACUUGUCAGCUGUAAAAUCAUAAUAUAGUCUAAAUAGCUAAGUUGCUUUGUUGCUAGAAUGAAACUAAGUCAAUCUGCUAUGCAAUUAUGCAGAUUUUGCACCAUAACAUAUGCAAAUUCAUCUUUUGUUAAAUGCAUAAAUACAUUUAUAACUUAAGAUGUUUAAACUCUACACUUAACUUUUUAAGUAACCGAUAUAACUUUCACAAUCCUCUUUUUAGUUUUUACCCUCCCCCUCCUCUUUUCAAACCAUAUGUCCUUCUCCUGAUGAGAACAAAAUUAGCUAGCAUAACAGAAGACAACACAUAAAUUUGAGAAAACUAGUACUAGACCUAUCUUUCACUGGCAAUUUUCACCAUUUAGCAUGGAAAACUUUUCAACUAGGCUUACCCUUGGUACCUUGGGCAAUGUCAUGACUUCAAAUUAACAACAAUCAGAUUACGAACUUGCAGAACUUAAGAAGGAAAAGUCCCUUCACAAGGAAUGCUAAUACAAUCUCUUCCAUUUAACCAAAGGCUAAACAAUUCUAAAAGUGCUAUUUGCAAGAACGUACUACUUUUGGACCACAUUUCCCUAUACGUACAUUCUGAAACACUUUGGUACCACAUUUCCCUACCCUCCCUUUGUUCAAUUUUUUUGUCCAAAAAAUACAAUUAAUUUCACAAACUAAGUAAACAUAGAUCGAUAAAAAGGUCAAUAUCAAAUAACAGACAUAGAACCAGUCAACACCCUUCGUGUUAGAUGCUUGCAGUCAGCCAACAUUAUUUUGGUAGUGAAGUAAAUUAUCCAAUUCUGAGUUGAAGGAAAAAUCAGUACACGAUGAACAUAUCAAGAACAUACCUCGUCGAAGAGAGCUUCGGCUGCGACGUUAUAGUGACGGCUGCAACUGAUCGGAGAAAGGAAGGAGGAGAGAAAGAAAGAGAGAGAACCGGCGUUGAAGGAGAGAGAGAGAAAGGAAAGAAGAGAGACAAAAAGAAAAGCAAUGGAUCAGUUGCCCUAAUACGGUGUGGACUAGAA
rnacentral:lncRNA from 1 species